GAAACCGGGCGACUUGAGUGCAGAAGAGGACAGUGGAACUCCAUGUGUAGCGGUGGAAUGCGUAGAUAUAUGGAAGAACACCAGUGGCGAAGGCGGCUGUCUGGUCUGCAACUGACGCUGAGGCUCGAAAGCAUGGGUAGCGAACAGGAUUAGAUACCCUGGUAGUCCAUGCCGUAAACGAUGAGUGCUAGGUGUUGGAGGGUUUCCGCCCUUCAGUGCCGGAGCUAACGCAUUAAGCACUCCGCCUGGGGAGUACGACCGCAAGGUUGAAACUCAAAGGAAUUGACGGGGGCCCGCACAAGCGGUGGAGCAUGUGGUUUAAUUCGAAGCUACGCGAAGAACCUUACCAGGUCUUGACAUCUUGCGCUAACCUAAGAGAUUAGGCGUUCCCUUCGGGGACGCAAUGACAGGUGGUGCAUGGUCGUCGUCAGCUCGUGUCGUGA
rnacentral:rRNA from 2 species